UUAAUCAUGGCAGUGGCUAGCAGUAUGAACCAGCAUUGUUUGAAAAAAGUGCUGUCACAUACGACUAGCAUAUACUCACUGUUUAGGCUAGCCGUACAGCAUUUUAAAAAUUAGUUGCCUAAAACAAUAAUAUGCAAACUUGUUUUUCUAAAAGAAUAUUUUAUUGAAUAUCAUAUACAAUUUCAGUCAAUGCGAAAGUCAAAAAAAAAUUCCAGCUGCAAGGACUGGGAUCCUAAGAUUUAUUUCCGGCCCUGAUGAUUUUUUACCAGCCCGGACUCUGAAAGGUAUUUUUUUGUAGGGGUGGGGGAGGGAUAUUGCCAUAAUUAUAAAGAAAAAUAUUUAGCAUAUAUGAAUUAUCAGACUCAACUAUAAGAUACUAUGAAAAAAAAUAUACAGAAACAUAAUUAAUAAAACAUUAGCAUAAUUCACAAGAAAACAAUACAUCUUUCAAAGGUUUAAUUUUGAAGAUUGGAGAAAAAAUAUGUUUUGGUAAGGAAGACAAGAUGGUGGCUUACAUUACUUAGCAAAAACUGGUCGUAUCCUUCGGUGAUUUUGGUUAUCUUGGUCUGUGAAUACAAGCAAAAAUAAAAAAAAAUAGAUUUAUCUUGGAAGCUUUGCAUAUUUUAGAAGGCCAAAAAAUAGUUUCAAACUGGCUGUAAUUUUAUUUGGACAUGACAACUGACUGUAUCGAAAUUGAUCUCGGCUCUACUGAUUUUUAGUUGGCGAGGUCCGAGGACCGACAGCCUUUCGCACAGACUGCAAUUUACAGUUGGUAUAGUAAUUUUUAGUGUUUGAUGAUCAGAAGAUUUUUUUUCCUUCUGAAAAUCAUGGAAAUCUGUGUGAAAGCGCAAAGAGAAAGAGACUGAAAAUUAAUUUAUUAUUUCUAUGGACAAUAUAGAUGCAAUACAUUUGUAAUCAAACAUGUUGGUCAAUUUCCAACAGUAGUUGAAUUAUGACAAAGUAUUUUUAAUAAUUUUAUUUAACUUUUAGCUACUUGAAAAUUUCAUGCUGGAUGUUUGCUUACCAUUACAUUUUGCAUAAGAGCUCUAUGAUUGACAUUAAAGUCCACAGGCCAAUUCAAUUCUGAUAUAUCUUUCCGAUAUCUUGUUAUAAUAAAAAAGGCUGAAUGUCAUCGUAGAAUUAUUAGGAAAAAAUAUAUAUGUUCAUUCUUUGUAAAAAUGUUAGAAGACUUGCAAGUUACCGAUUUUAUCAUUGCAUUUAUUUAUUAUUGAAAAAAUGCUGAACGGCUAUCCUCAACAGUGUGUAUAGGCUAGAACUUUCAGUUUGCAUUUAGGGCCAAAAUAUAUUGUUACAGUCAUGACGGCUUUCCUGUUGCUGUCAACAAACUUUAACCUUGUUCAUAACUUUUUCAGAUCUUGGUGUAUUGUCUUCAUACUUGGCCACAACAACCCUUCAAAUAGACAAGACUAAACUUGACCUCCAUAUUAACAUUCAAGAAGGUCAGCCUACAUGUCAGAUUUGUGAAUGUGAACGGCGGAUAUCAAUUUUAAGGAUGCUUUAGGGCAGGGUUCGUACAGUCUUAAAAAUGCUUAAAUUUGAGUCUCUUUCUUAAAAAGUGCUUAAAAUGUAAAAUAGUGCUUAAAAGUCCUUGAAUUUGAUUAUUCUCUUGAAAAGUGCUUAAAAAGUGCUUAAAUUUGCUUGAAAAUGUUUGAAUCACAGAAUGACAUAGUUUUGAUAAAAAUCAACGGUUAACAAAAUAAAAAAAGAGCCAAUUUAGUAUCAAAAUCAAUGAAAUGUUUACUCAAGGUAACAGUAAGUGGACAAAUUGCAGUUGUUUUGAACUAAUCUGUACUUGAUGCACCCUUAGUUGUUCUUCUAUAAUGUUAGAAAAUGUGUAUUUAACAAAAAUGGUGAACAAACUAUCCAUCAUAGGUUGAAGAUUGUGUCGGUAUAUGUGCAACAAAUGUGCUUGAAAAAUGGGAAUACGUGCUUAAAUAGUGCUUAAAAAGUCCUUGAAUUUUGGCAUUGGAUGUCUGUACGAACCCUGUAGGGUCAAUGAGAAUGAAAUCAAGAGAGAUGAAGGCUAAAAUGUGAGACUGUCAAUCUGAUUAACCUUGAAGUGAAUAAAUGGAAAAAUGUUUCUUUCAAUAGCAUGGCAUUUAAGGAAGAGGAAACAGAGGCGUUUGUAUGAUAAAACAGUAAAAGCAGGAGUGACAAGGACAGAUACAUGUAGAUGUGUCUUCAUGUCGGAAACACUAGAGAAAUUGAAGUAUUUGGGUUUUUUCAAAACUUAAAAGAAAUUGGAAUACCAGGAGACUGCUUGCCCUUUGCAAUGUUGGAUAAUGAGUUCUUUGAUGUGAUGUCGAAAGCCUCAUGAAUAUAGUAACUUGACUUAAUCUAAUUAGAAAAAGAAAUGACAUUGAGGAGAAAACUAGUCACCAGUCUUUCACCAAGAACAUGAGCUAACUUUCCAAUAUUUGAAAUAUCAUAAUAUGUAUAGAACUUUAAUGAGCGACCAGUUUUUCACCAGGAAAAUAAGAUCACUUAUCUAUUUUUGAAAUAUGUAUGAACAGAACUUUAUCAACUUCAAGGUGAAAGUUUAUCACGAAGAACAUGAGAUAACCUAUGUAUGAACAGAACCACAUUUGUAUAUAGAGGCGCCAGUUCAUCACCAAGAAGAUGAGCUAACUUAUCAAUGUUUGAAAUCUGUUAUACCCCAGCACAACAAAGUUGUAAGGGGGGUAUACUGGAAUCAGCUUGUCCGGCCGUCGGGAGUCCGUCAGUUUUUUCUUGUCCGUCCAAUAACUUAAGAUUCCUUUGGCCCACAGUCUUCAUAUUUGGCAUGGAGGUAAGUCAUGAUUAGUAGAUGACUUCUAUUGAUUUUGAGAACACCAGGUCAAAGGUAACAAGGGCCUUGACUGAAGAAAGCUUUUCUGCCCAAUAACUUAAGAAUCCUUCAACCCACAGUCUUCAUAUUUGGCAUGGAGGUUAGUCAAGGUUAGUAGAUGACCCCUAUUGAUUUUGAGGUCAUUGGGACAAAGGUCAAGGUCACAGGGGCUUUAUUACAAUUAGCUUGUCUGCUCAAAUGGUCUCAUAUAUUCAUCAUAAAACACCUCCAGGCAAGGCUGCGUGGAAAUGGGUGGGGGGGGGAGUUAUUGAAGUCAUUCAAUGGCAGUUUCAGUUUUGAAGUCAGUAGGUCAAAGGUAAAGUUCACUUUGAUCUUUUCCACUAAAACAUGUAAAAUACAUAAAUUAACAAUGCACUGGCUUACUUCCCUCGGAUUUGGCUGGGAGGUUGUCUUUGAGCUGUAAAUGACUACUGUUGAUUCUGACAAAUUGGUAUGCAGGGAUAUUCACGCCAUGCAGUUCUAGUUUGUACAGAAAACAUCAAGGUGCAUGUUUCUUUUAUUAAGAAUAGACUUAUUGAUUAGAUAACUUACAAUAUUUACAAACAUUUAUAAUGCCACACCCAUUUAAAGU